rnacentral:ncRNA from 1 species
CAAUGAACAUUGAAAGGGAUGAGUAUUAUAGAAUACAAUUUUAAGAGAUAAAGUGUCAAAGGCUGUAAGCACUUUUAAAUAUGACUAUAAGAAAACUACCCUGGAGUUAUGGUUUAGUAUCAUUAAGUGAGAAAUACCAUCGGUGAAGAUCGAUAAUACUUUAAGAGAUGAAUUGAAUUUUUUAUUCAAUUUGGGUGGAACCACGGAUAUAGCAUUCGUCCCAAGC